rnacentral:rRNA from 1 species
CGUGUAGGCGGGCGAUCAAGUCAGAUGUAAAAGGCGACGGCUUAACCGUAGCAUGUCAUCUGAUACUGGUUGUCUUGAGUUCGAGAGAGGGUGGUGGAAUUCCCGGUGUAGCGGUGAAAUGCGUAGAUAUCGGGAAGAACACCUGAAGCGAAGGCGGCCACCUGGCUCGACACUGACGCUGAGGCGCGAAAGCGGUGGGGAGCAAACA